GACGAACGCUGGCGGCGUGCCUAAUACAUGCAAGUAGAACGCUGAAGCUUGGUGCUUGCACCGAGCGGAUGAGUUGCGAACGGGUGAGUAACGCGUAGGUAACCUGCCUGGUAGCGGGGGAUAACUAUUGGAAACGAUAGCUAAUACCGCAUAAGAGUAGAUGUUGCAUGACAUUUGCUUAAAAGGUGCAAUUGCAUCACUACCAGAUGGACCUGCGUUGUAUUAGCUAGUUGGUGAGGUAACGGCUCACCAAGGCAACGAUACAUAGCCGACCUGAGAGGGUGAUCGGCCACACUGGGACUGAGACACGGCCCAGACUCCUACGGGAGGCAGCAGUAGGGAAUCUUCGGCAAUGGACGGAAGUCUGACCAAGCAACGCCGCGUGAGUGAAGAAGGGUUUCGGAUCGUAAAGCUCUGUUGUAAGAGAAGAACGAGUGUGAGAGUGGAAAGUUCACACUGUGACGGUAUCUUACCAGAAAGGGACGGCUAACUACGUG
rnacentral:rRNA from 1 species